UACGUAGGGUGCGAGCGUUGUCCGGAAUUAUUGGGCGUAAAGGGCUCGUAGGCGGUUUGUCGCGUCGGGAGUGAAAAUCCAGGGCUUAACUCUGGACUGGCUUCCGAUACGGGCAGACUAGAGGUAUGCAGGGGAGAACGGAAUUCCUGGUGUAGCGGUGAAAUGCGCAGAUAUCAGGAAGAACACCGGUGGCGAAGGCGGCUCUCUGGGCCUUACCUGACGCUGAGGAGCGAAAGCGUGGGUAGCGAACAGG
rnacentral:rRNA from 1 species